rnacentral:misc_RNA from 1 species
CCCAAAUCAUAUUAAACCAAGUUCACCCAGUUUGAGAAAACCCCAUUAUUCUCCUCAAACCAGGAAAUAGCGGAGAAGGAUUUGAAGAUGGCUUCUCUUCAAUCAAAUGCUCUUCGAUCAUUUCUUUAACAGAUUUAGCAGACAAGGGAUGAAAAUUGACACCCCACUCAUUAACAAAUCCCUUAAUCAUAACCCACUUCUCCUCUUGAUCCAGUUUGCUCCAUUUCCUCUUCACUUCCUCCUUCUCCAUAGCCAAAUAGUGGCAGAGCUCAGUGAAUAAUAAUUCUUUACUCUUCUUCAUGGCCUCUUCUCUUUGCGCCAAAGGGGCGUUUAUCUUUGCCACUUCUGUAGCCAAAUCUGAUGCAAGAUCAGCAUCACUGGUGCUAUUAUCGGUGCAUGGGAUUUGGGUUCUGAGUCUGUAGGUGAAAUGGGUUGCAGUUGGAAAGGGAUAGGAUUGGGAUUUUCGGAGAGGAGAGAGGGAAUUUGAACAUAAUAAUUGGAUUCUUAAGGCCAUUUCGAGGGUUUAGUUUAUGGUUUGGCUGGAAUUUUUGGAGAGAUUGAGGUUUUAGGGUUGCUGAAUUGGUGGGAUUUAGCAAUGGUAAGCACUAAACCGAUAAAAG